rnacentral:rRNA from 1 species
AGUGAACGCUGGCGGUAGGCCUAACACAUGCAAGUCGAACGGCAGCACAGUAAGAGCUUGCUCUUACGGGUGGCGAGUGGCGGACGGGUGAGGAAUACAUCGGAAUCUACUUUUUCGUGGGGGAUAACGUAGGGAAACUUACGCUAAUACCGCAUACGACCUACGGGUGAAAGCAGGGGAUCUUCGGACCUUGCGCGAUUGAAUGAGCCGAUGUCGGAUUAGCUAGUUGGCGGGGUAAAGGCCCACCAAGGCGACGAUCCGUAGCUGGUCUGAGAGGAUGUGCAGGCACACUGGGAAAGAGAAACGGGCCCGACUCCCACGGGGGGGACGAGUGGGGGAAAUUUCGGAAAGGGGGGAAACCCCACGCAGCCACUUCCCGGGGGGGAAAAAAGGCCUCGGGGUUUAAAAGCCCUUUUUUUGGGAAAAAAAAACGGCGGUUAAAAUCCCCCCGUUUUGACGGUACCCAAACAAAAAGCCACGGCUAACUUCGUG